GACGAACGCUGGCGGCGUGCCUAAUACAUGCAAGUCGAACGCAUUUUCUUUCACCGUAGCUUGCUACACCGAAAGAAAAUGAGUGGCGAACGGGUGAGUAACACGUGGGUAACCUGCCCAUCAGCGGGGGAUAACACUUGGAAACAGGUGCUAAUACCGCAUAAUUCCAUUUACCGCAUGGUAAAUGGAUGAAAGGCGCUUUUGCGUCACUGAUGGAUGGACCCGCGGUGCAUUAGCUAGUUGGUGGGGUAACGGCCUACCAAGGCUGCGAUGCAUAGCCGACCUGAGAGGGUGAUCGGCCACACUGGGACUGAGACACGGCCCAGACUCCUACGGGAGGCAGCAGUAGGGAAUCUUCGGCAAUGGACGCAAGUCUGACCGAGCAACGCCGCGUGAUUGAAGAAGGUUUUCGGGUCGUAAAACUCUGUUGUUAGAGAAGAACAAGGAUGAGAGUGGAAAGUUCAUCCCUUGACGGUAUCUAACCAGAAAGCCACGGCUAACUACGUG
rnacentral:rRNA from 1 species